GCAUUUUGAGGGCCAAAAAUUCUGAUCUAGUACACUAAGAAGGCGCUCAAGGGGACCUUCAAGAAGAACUCGAAGUGGACGCCUAGACACUUGUUUGAGUAUUUACUCUCUUGUUGCAAUAGGGUUAGAGACCAAGGGUGCUCGUGAGUAGUACUAGAUUGUU